UACGAAGGGUGCUAGCGUUGCUCGGAAUUACUGGGCGUAAAGCGCACGUAGGCGGCUUGUUAAGUCAGGUGUGAAAUCCUGGAGCUCAACUCCAAAACUGCCUUUGAUACUGGCGAGCUUGAGUUCGGGAGAGGUGAGUGGAACUGCGAGUGUAGAGGUGAAAUUCGUAGAUAUCGGGAGGAACACCGGUGGCGAAGGCGGCGACCUGGGUAGAUACUGACGCUGAGGCGCGAAAGCGUGGGGAGCAAACAGG
rnacentral:rRNA from 1 species